AUUUGAUACUGUAGGCCAUGCACAGAUCUCUGAUAAGCUUGCUGCUUCCUGCAUCAUUCUGGGUUCACAAUUAACUUCUCAAACACAACUUUCAGCUUUUCUGUGUCACCCUCAUUCUGCAUUUUUCUCUCCACAUGCUUUCUCCUUUUUGCACCCUGUGCCUUCAUCCCAUGGGGGACCAUUCUCAGCUUCCAAAUCUCCUGUGAGGAUGAGGAUCUCUGAGCUCACACCUCCUCACCCAGUUCACCCUCUGCCUGCUGGAUGCACACUGCAGAACUGGAACUAACAGAGAAGCCGUCCCUGUACAGGAUACUGAGAAGACUGGCAGGACUUUUUGGUCAUUGAAAUGUAACUAUGACAUCUAUCCAAAAGUGCCACUGGAAGAAUGAGGAGUGGAAUAGAACAAAAGCCACUACAUUUAUGAACAAGCAGAUGGUACCUGGGAGCCUGACUUAGCCAUACUGGAGGUGAAGUGAAGCCUGAUCUGUGGAAAGCUGGGAGUGGCAGUGCAGCACCUGCUCAGGUGCCACCUGUGUGACACUGUCAGGAGUCUUCCAAGCUGCCAGCGAGGGAGAGGAGGAUCAGUUUGCAUAGCCUGAGGAAAAACAAAGUGAAAGAGACAGGAAGAGAGGGGUUUUCUGUAUUUCUGUUAACCUGUAGUUACAACCCUUCAGUGACAGAUUUGCCAACAGCAAAGAGUGAGACAAAUAUCUGCAAUCUGAAGUGUCUGGAAGUAAAUUCUCACAUGCCUUCACUGUACUGCUUUUGUUUGCAGAACCUUUCCAUCUGGAUGAGUAGCAGGAACAGGAAAGCAUUUGAAGCUAGGAAAACCACCAUACUGCUGUCUAUAAAGCACUGAUAGGAUUUUUAUGUGGAGCUCUAAAGAGAAUGACAUGCAGUGCUUUAUUUUUUGGUUUUGUUUUGGUUUUUUUUUCCUUUUGCCAAGUCAGAGAGCUCAGAUGUUUGCAAGCAAAACAAAAU
rnacentral:lncRNA from 1 species